GCCAAGUGGUGAUGUCAUUCUAACUGUCCCACAGUGACCAAAACACGGCAGUGUUGGGAGUUGGGGCCUAUUGGCUGAGAGUUGCCACAGUUUAGAAGGAGGAGGAAAGGCUUUAUUUUUGCAAGAUGAGUUUUGGUGGUGGCUCUGCCCUGAUGAAGUGGAUCUACUUUCCUGGGGAUGGCUCCUUUCCAAGAUAUUCCAUUAAAAUGCACCAAAAAGGAAGACUCGACAGCUGAUGAAGUGGAAGUUGGAAGCAGGAGGACCAGACUAGCAGACAUUUUAUCUUCAGCUUAUGGUUUGUCAUUCAACCAAACUGAUUUGAUCAAAAGCAAUUGCUGUCUGAUAUUUGUUGUGAACCUGUGUGGAGGGAGGUUAGGAUUAGGGUGGUGGUCCCUGCACAACUGUCC
rnacentral:lncRNA from 1 species